AUAACUUAAUUAUGGGGCUUCAGAAUAUACUGCCUGCCUUGAGACCGGGAGAGGCUGGAGGUACUUUCGGGGUAGGGGUAAAAUCCUAUAAUCCCGAAGGGACCACCGGUGGCGAAGGCGUCCAGCCAGAACGGGUCUGACGGUGAGGGACGAAACCCAGGGGAGCGAGUCGGAUUAGAUACCCGGGUAGUCCUGGGCGUAAAUGAUGUGGGCUAGGUGCAAGGCUACCUAAGUGGUAGCCUGGUGCCGAUGGGAAGCCGUUAAGCCCACCGCCUGGGGAGUACGGCCGCAAGGCUGAAACUUAAAGGAAUUGGCGGGUGAGCACCACAAGGGGUGGAGGCUGCGGUUUAAUUGGAUUCAACGCCGGGAAACUCACCGGGGGCGACAGCAGUAUGAAGGUCAGGCUGAUGACCUUACCAGACAAGCUGAGAGGAGGUGCAUGGCCGUCGUCAGCUCGUACCGUGAGGCGUCCUGUUAAGUCAGGUAACGAGCGAG
rnacentral:rRNA from 1 species